rnacentral:lncRNA from 1 species
CACAUGUGUAGCCACUGUAGUCCUGUUUGCAUUCUUCACAAAGGGUGACACUUCUGAGCAUUUCCUUGGAUUGUGGGUGACCUUUUUACCAACCUCAGCCUGCUGGAGAAACGUAACAUCUAAGCUCUUGUGUUUUCCUAAAAAAAUUAUUUCCAUCAGCUCAAUGGACAGUAACACUGCUUUCCAUCUUUUGUGAAAAGGUAGAGAGCCUUGUCUGGCUGUUCCUUGGGGUUAGUUGGUAUGCUGAUGCAGAAAUUGUGCACAAGCAAUGCCAGAGGAUGUUUCUGGCCACAGCUGUCUAGUCAUUAAAAGAUCCAACAUUUGGAUCUUGGUAACACCCCUAGUACAUGAAGGUAUUGGGGAUUUUUUAUUAUUUUUUAAAAAAAUUAUUAAUUAAUUUAUUUAUAUUUUUAACUGUCUCUCAGUGGAAGAUGGCCUGAUGCAGUUAAACAGCCCUGGAGGAAACUUCAGCUGAGCGGGCUGGAAAUGUGUAAAGUGGUUGUGUGUGGGAGGACAGAAAGAAAUGAAAUUAAGAAAAAUUCUUCCCAGGGACUCCCACUGACUGGAGCUACCCACACAUCCCAGGGUUUGUCCUGCAUAGUUAUGAGCUGGCACUUCAAUACUGCUACUGAGGUUUUCCCUAGAAACUGAUGACUGGGAGCUAAUGUUAAUGGGAAUCAUUUUGGAGUAUUAAGCCAUGACUCAACUUUCUUAAAUCUAAAGGAGGCUGGGUGUAUGUGAAGAAUGAUUGCUGCUAGGAGCAGGAUUGAAAUGCAAGUACUUUAUUAAAUAUAUAUUUAAAUGCUUCAUAAAGUGCUUAAUAGAAUAUAUACUUAUUAAAGUAGAUAGUGAAAGAGAAUAGUCUCACCUGAAGUAGUUAGGUAGGACUAGAAAUCUCGGCUGUGUCUUGGAUGUCCUUCAAACUGCUGCAAAGAGAAAGUCUCAUCUCAGAGGAAGUGGGUUAGAGGACAGUUAUUGUCCACAUUUACCCUACACUCUUUAGGCACUUAUUUGAGUAUUUCUGUGCACUCUCUGCAGGAGGGGAAGAAUGGGAGAAUUCCAGGGGAUAAUCCUGGCUUUAUCCUAUCUUUCAAGUAGUUUAGUCUACGACUAGAGUUACUCCCUGGAGGGACCUCUCUUGUUUCACUGACUUUUGAAGAAGUGUUAAAUUAAUUGUGUGUGCCUAACAUAGUUGGGUAAAUUGAGGCCUAAACUAUGGGAUUUCCCUGCUGUUGAACUGGUGCAAUUGUGCCAUGCUGUGUUGUAGCUGCUGAACUACUCCUGGUUUUACAAACCCUCUCAGAACCUUGGUGGUUGUGAUGCCUCUGUGUCAGAAGCUUUCUGGAGCUCUUGGCUCUCCUCAGUCUUCCUUGCUGCUGAUGGUGGUUUUUAGCUCUGAGUGGUUUCCCCAGGGAAAAUGGGAGGGCAGAUCUCACCCAAACUCUUAGAUUUCAAAAUAAAAGGAUGUAAGUACAAGAAGUAUUAACA